ensembl:lncRNA
CCCUGCUGCUUCAGAACUGUUAAGUAACUAUUUUCCUACAAUUUAUCUCAGGCAAGACCUCGAAUAUUUUCCUAACUGCUACCAACUCAGGCACUGCAUAGGACAAUGAUACAGAGGAUCGGCAACAGGAUCCUAACCUUCUUCUGCAAGCACUGUCUACCUCCUUAGAAGAUGGGCUGUGCCACACAUUAAUGCAUGCAGACGAAUGAGCACCGGAGUAACCUGGUCUGGCUAGUUGAAACCAGUCCAGCUGUGGCCUAAGGUUACAUCCAGAUGGACUAAUCCAAGUGAGAAGAGAUACGCAGAGGACAGUGAUGCUGUAACUUGUUUGAUUACGAUCCUUCUUCAUGGUUGCACUGAAUCUCAUCUUGUGAUCUGCCGACUUCAGAAAGGUGAUGAUUCAGGUUUUAAUGUUGAGCAUGAUGCCACGUGGUAUGGGACAUCCCUCUGGUAAAUUGGGUCAGCUGUCCUGGUUCUGUUCCCUCCUCAUGCAUCCGCAUCUCCUUGCUUGCAGGGCAGCAUUAGUAGCUGAAACAUUCCUGAAUAAAGCAGCAAAUCCCUCCAGCUGUAUGAUAGAGGACAGGAGUGUGUCAUGGUCCAGUCAUCCCUGUCCUAGCCUUCACCUCUAGAAGACAAAGAAGGAGCAGCCACCACCUGUUGCAUCAGGUGGUGAGACGAGGCAAACCUACCUCCCUGCCUGCCUGGCCAUCCUCAGCCCUUCCCUCUUCUCCACCUCAGCCCUUGCUCACCCACUGCUUGCCUCCACCUGGGGCUGGCUGGCUCACCGGCACAGCCCUUUAUAUUCCCCCUAAGAAACCACCAACAUUCUGCCUACUUUGACACAGCCAACACAAUUUUGGGUUCCAGGAGCACUGAAUGCACAUUUUAUUCCCAGUUGUAAUGCCUAGAAUCUGUGGACAGGCAGCUCACCCAGGCUGCAUGGAACAGGGCCCAGCUGCCAGCACCACGCCCUGCAACAUCAUUUCAGGGGCUGUGCAGUCUCAUCUGACCUGGAGCUGCUAGACAAGAGCAGGGCAGCGCUGACACAAAUGGGAUACCAAAACCUUGCCACAGAAACCCAAUAGAAGAGAUUUUAAUAACAAGUUGGAUUUUGGGAGUUUCAUGCCAUUUAGCAGUACCUGGAAGCUACUUCAAAUUUUAAAACGUUUGUCUUUUUCCUCACAGAACUCACAAGUACAUAUAACCAUAACUUUUCUUAAAAAUCACAUUAUUACUUUAUAGGCAAAGACAGAUCUGACAGCUCUUUCAGCUCUUUAAUUACUUUAAUGCAUUCAGUUGGUCUUAUGCUUCUAGAGCCAUUAGAGCAAUGUAAAUAGUAUAGAAGUUUAUCAUUAAUUCUAAUGUACUUCAGAUCUGGGAACCAGGGAGCAUGACAUUGCUAGUUUUUAGGAACAUUCUAUCAGAGGUGUAUCUGUCGUAUGAAGAUAUUUCCAUUUCAGCUUACUUUGAUUUAAUAAUUUUAUACAUUUAUUCAGUGUGUCACAGAAUGACAUGAAAAUGUGUUAAUCCACAGAGUCUGUUCCUAGUCUCUUAAUUAUUCAGUUUUAUUGUUGAUGCCUGAAAUCUGCAUAAAUUCAUCUUGCAGUAUAAAUCUGCUAUACUCAGUAAUGCCCUCAGAAUUACUUCUGAUCUUUAAAUGUUUUCAGCUUGAAGAAACCUUGGCAAUCUCUUUCCAUAAAUCAAGCUUUAAAAAUCUUCUUCAUUAAAAUGAAAGUUUUUAAGGAUUUAUUUCCUGAAGGAUUCCUAUUUCCAACAUCCAUAGCUCUUAGGACAAUGCUUUAUACUCAGAUCUAUGCACAUGGGUUUUGGUUUGAGAAUGUUGUAACCUUGAUACCCCCAUUACAGUCUCAUUGGUAGACCUUUUGCCAGAGGAGAGAUUAUGCUGUUCAAGUGGCUGAGAGGUGUGCAUAAUGAUUGCUAAAGCUGAUGAGAUAUGACACCAAAACCCCACAAGCCAAAUCUUUUACCAGAGAAUCUCAUGCCUUGAAGAGAGAUAGAGAGAACUUUUUGUGUUAAAAAGCUUUGCUGGCUUCUCAGAAAUGUUUCCUUGGAGAUUUAGGAGCUGUUCUGUUUAAAGGUAUAAGAGGUCUGUUGUCCAAUUAUCAGUACCCUUAUCUAUUCAAUUUGAUUUUGCUCCUGAGCUUGAUACCUCUUUCUCUCUUCAUCCUCAAAUAGAGUUUUAAAAUAAAAAUAAUAAAUAAUUUAAGGAGAGGAGAGGAGAGGAGAGGAGAGGAGAGGAGAGGAGAGGAGAGGAGAGGAGAGGAGAGGAGAGGAGAGGAGAGGAGAGGAGAGGAGAGGAAAAAAGAAAAGAAAUAAAAAAAGAAAUAGGAAAAAAAAAAAAGAAGAAGAAAGAGCUAAGAACAGAUAUAUUGCCCACUCUCCCAAAACAUAUCUAACAGCGUUUCACCCCUUUGGCUCUCCAUUCUUCUGUUCUUUUAUAUCUAACUUCCCUUCCAAAACCAGUAACUUCUAAAUACACUUUUGUGUCCAACAGGGCAUGCUCAAUUUGUAAAGUUUCUCCCUUGUUUAUGCAUUUGUUGGAUUACUUAACUUUGCCUUCAGUCUCCUUCAAAAGAGAAGAAGAUAAAAGUCAACAGCAAUAGUAGUAGGUUGGAAGUUGAUUUUUACAUGAAAACAGCAAGCUUAAGUAAGGAUAUGACUAAAAUAAAAGAAGUAGAUAUCAUCAAAACAUGUUGAACUGGUUCUGGUAAUCUUGUUUCUCAUUGUUUCCACACCUUACCUGUGAUUUUACAUUCUCUUCACUGUAGACUUGUAGCCAUAGCACGAGAGGAUACCACCCGGUGUUUCCCUUCCAGAACAGUUCCUAAAGUCUCAUUUUGCCAUUCUGGGACAUCGUUGUUCAGUGUGGAAAGAAAGAAAAAAGGCACGAAUUACAGAGAAACCUUCCAUCCUUUCUGUAUUUUGUCCCAUUUUAUUCUGUUUUUCUACUUCCCUUUCUUAUGUCUUAUGUCUAUUCUUGCCUUCUAUUUGAUCCUGUGAUUUCACAGAGGCAGAAAAGGCAAGAGAAAAUAAUCAAGUGUCUUCUGCCACCAUUGCUGUGAAAACAUUGUCUGCAGGAGAGAAAGGGGAAAAUGUACCUGCAAAGGAAUUUAUUUGUAGAAUAUUUUUCCUGUAUGGAAUCUUUCUUCUACCUCAGACAACAAAAAUAUUUACCCAUAAAAGUAACAGCUGUCCAGCCGAGGGUUAUGGAGCCCCACAUCAAAAGGUUUUAAGGAGAGAGGGGACAUUUUUUUUCUUGGAGCUAUUCAACUCACUGAAAUAGGCCAGCUCAUUGUGACUAGAUAAACUGAAGCACUUGCAGAUUUACAGAUCUUUUACUAAAAUCACUUUCCCAAGCACAAGCUAACAUCAAGGCAUCAUGUUUUCAAACUCGUUCCAGUAUCAAAGUGUUUCCCAACAUGACUAUUAUGCUGUUUUCCAGAUGGGAUGGAGUUCUGUGAAAUCUCUGUUCUUUUUAUGCUGCUAAUCUUGCCUCAUGACUCAGAGACUGAAAGCCCUAAAUACUGUUGUUAAUCCACUGCAGUCUCUUUUCAGUCUUAGAAGUGCCUUUCCUCUAAUGAAACAAGUUAUAUGCUUUGCAGAAGAGAUCCCAUGAUUAUUUUUGCUUCUAAGCCUUCACUUGCAUAAUAGAAAAGGAGUUAGAUAUGCAGAGUUUGGGUAAGCAAAGUCCCUCCCAGCAAAGAUCAGAUUCAUGACCACCUGAGGAACUUGAACACCUACAAGUCUGUGGGUCCUGCUUAGAUGCAUUCCAGAGUCCUGAGGGAAUUAGCUGAUGCAGUUGCCAAGCCACUCUCGAUUAUAUUCAAAAACUUGUGGUGAUCAGGUGAAGUCACUGGUGACUGGAAAAAAGGCAACAUUACACUUAUUUUCAAGAAGACUAAAAAGGAUGACCCCAAGAACUACCGACCGGUCAGUCUCUCCUCUGUGCCAGGGAAGAUAACGGAGCAGAUCCUCCUGGAAGCUAUGCCAGGGCAAAUCCUGCUUGACCAACCUAGUGGCCUUUUCUGAUGGUGUAACUGCAUCAAUAGACAAGGGAAGCACCACUAUUAUCAUCUAUCUGGAUUUCAGUAAAGCCUUUGACAUGGUACCCAGGGAUUCCCUGUCCCUGGAGACUUUCAAGACGAGACUGAACCAGGCUCUGGGCAACCUGACCUAGCUGUGGUGUUCCUGUUC